UCUGGUGUACCAGUUGUCGUGCCAACGGCAUAGCUGGGUAGCUAUGUAUGGACGGGAUAAGUGCUGAAAGCAUCUAAGCAUGAAGCCCCCCUCAAGAUGAGAUUUCCCAACUUCGGUUAUAAGAUCCCUCAAAGAUGAUGAGGUUAAUAGGUUCGAGGUGGAAGCGUGGUGACACGUGGAGCUGACGAAUACUAAUCGAUCGAAGACUUAAUCAA
rnacentral:rRNA from 1 species